AGUAUAGUGUAAGUUGUUAGACUAACAACAGAACAUAUACAACACAAGUACUGACAGUGCAAGCUUCCCCACACUGUCCUGCAAGUGCACAGCAACCUUGAUUAGGAGGGACCACAACUGACAAGAGCUAAAAGAUCAGUUAUUUUUCAUUCCCAUUGCAUAACUGGCCUCU
rnacentral:sRNA from 1 species